AUACAGAGGUCUCAAGCGUUGUUCGGAUUCAUUGGGCGUAAAGGGUGCGUAGGCUGUAUGGUAAGUCAGAUGUGAAAUUUUAGGGCUCAACCCUGAAACUGCAUCCGAUACUGCCGUGCUAGAGGAUUGGAGAGGAGAUUGGAAUUCAUGGUGUAGCAGUGAAAUGCGUAGAUAUCAUGAGGAAGACCAGUGGCGAAGGCGAAUCUCUGGACAAAUCCUGACGCUGAGGCACGAAGGCUAGGGUAGCGAACGGGAUUAGAAACCCGGGUAGUCC
rnacentral:rRNA from 1 species